rnacentral:ncRNA from 1 species
UCACGCACAGGGCAAACUACUUGAAAAAGUAGGACGCAAAACUUCCGGCCUAAAUCAAUAUGUAUUAUUGGUAUGGUAGUGGGGUCGCCGAU